rnacentral:lncRNA from 1 species
GAUUUAAAACAUAUUUUAUGUAUUACUUAUAAAGCCCUAACGACAUUUAUAUAAGCAAAAGUAUUUUCACUUAUUUUAUUUUGAAAGGAUUCAAGUCCCAAAAAUUCACACUUUGGAGGAUUUGAAUUUACAAAUUUACUGGAGUUUAUUUGGACUUAUUUUGAGUUAGGAAUCAAAAGUUAUUAAUAAAAACAGAAAAUGGAAAAAGAAAAAGGAAAAAAAAAGGAAUGGACCGACCCAACUGGGCCGGCCCAUCUCCACCGAGCGCCCAGCCCAGCGAGAGCAUGAGCACGAGCUCAUCUUCCUACUCUGCACUUAAGGAAACUCUCUCCUUCCCUAUUUUCUUUCUUCGAUUUUUUUCCUUCCCGCGCGUCUCUCUCCGAAAAGAAACCACCCCAUCAAUCCUCACCAUCUCGGGAACCCAUUCAGACAACCAAUUUGAAGUUUCCUUUCAUAAUCGCAGUUUCCAAAAGAGGGGCCCUGAAUGCCGACCGUCGACAUCCCGCGUCC